CGCGUGGGGAGCAAGCGUUGUUCGGAAUUACUGGGCGUAAAGCGCACGUAGGCGGAUUUGUAAGUCAGGGGUGAAAUCCCGGGGCUCAACCUCGGAACUGCCUUUGAUACUGCAAAUCUCGAGUCCGGAAGAGGUGAGUGGAAUUCCUAGUGUAGAGGUGAAAUUCGUAGAUAUUAGGAAGAACACCAGUGGCGAAGGCGGCUCACUGGUCCGGUACUGACGCUGAGGUGCGAAAGCGUGGGGAGCAAACAGG
rnacentral:rRNA from 1 species